UCCUCGAUGGUCUAACGGUCAUGAUUUCCGCUUGUCAUCUCUUACGAGAACAAGCGCGGGAGACCUGGGUUCGACUCCCAGUCGGGGAG
rnacentral:tRNA from 5 species